CCUCAAAGGAAGCCACGGCUAAUUACGUGCCAGCAGCCGCGGUAAUACGUAAGUGGCGAGCGUUAUCCGGAAUUACUGGGCGUAAAGCGUUCGUAGGCGGCGUAGCAAGUUGGAUUUGAAAUCCCGGGGCUCAACUCCGGAACCGGAUCCAAAACUGCUAUGCUUGAGCAGAUCAGAGGGCAGUGGAAUUCCCGGUGUAGCGGUAAUAUGCGUAGAGAUCGGGAGGAACACCAGUGGCGAAGGCGGCUGCCUGGGGUCUUGCUGACGCUGAGGAACGAAAGCUAGGGGAGCGAACGGGAUUAGAUACCCCGGUAGUCCUAGCUGUAAACGAUGGGCACUAGGUGUCGGGAGCUUCGACCCUCUCGGCGCCGCCGCUAACGCAUUAAGUGCCCCGCCUGGGGACUACGGCCGCAAGGCUAAAACUCAAAGGAAUUGACGGGUCCCCGCACAAGCAGUGGAGCAUGUGGUUUAAUUCGAUGCUACGCGAAGAACCUUACCAGGGCUUGACAUCCCGGUGACCGCCCAUAGAAAUAUGGGCUUCCCUUCGGGGCGCCGGUGACAGGUGGUGCAUGGCUGUCGUCAGCUCGUGCCGUGAGGUGUCAGAUUAAGUUCUGUAACGAGCGCAACCCUCGUUUUCAGUUGCCAUCAUUAAGUUGGGCACUCUGGAGAGACUGCCAGCGUCAAGCUGGAGGAAGGUGGGGAUGACGUCAAGUCAUCAUGCCCCUUACGUCCUGGGCUACACACGUGCUACAAUGGGCGGUACAACGGGUUGCCACUCCGCGAGGAGGAGCGAAUCCUUAAAGCCGUUCUCAGUUCGGAUUGGAGGCUGCAACUCGCCUCCAUGAAGUUGGAAUUGCUAGUAACCGUGGAUCAGCAUGCCGCGGUGAAUACGUACCCGGGGAUUGUACACACCGCCCGUCACACCAUGGAAGUUGGUAACACCCGAAGUCCGUGAGCUAACCUCGUGAAGCAGCGGCCGAAGGUGGGACUAAUGACUGGGGUG
rnacentral:rRNA from 1 species